rfam:Medicago truncatula strain A17 chromosome 1, whole genome shotgun sequence.
AUACCUUUCUCGGCCUUUUGGCUAAGAUCAAGUGUAGUAUCUGUUCUUAUCAGUUUAAUAUCUGAUAUGUGACCCCAAUGGGUCACACGAUAUUAAAUUACUUUUUUAAGGGGGAGAGACUAUUAUAGUAGCUUGCUACUAGGUCUUUCAUGUGUCGUUUAUGCGUUGCACUAUUGCAUUGGCUGGCGCAUCCCAC